UUCAUGGGACAACAGAAUCAAGUAGCAGCUGUGGCAGAAACUAUAUGACUCGUAAAGCCUAAAAAAGCCUAAAAAAUGUUCACUGUCUCUAUAGAAAAGUUUGCCAAUCCCUGGUACAGUGAAUUAUUAUAGAAUAUCAAAUUUUUCUUUUAAUAUUUACAUUGGAAUGAGGAAGAGAGAAGUAAAGGAAAGAAAAAAA